AUGGAACCCUCGCGGCUCUCCCCGGAGGCCGCGGGCAAGCCUCAAGGUUUGAUCGCCAAGGACCGCUGGUUCAGCAUCGCCGCCUACAUCUCAUCUGGAGAGGGUGGUAUUGCUGCUGCCCUGCGGAAACAUGUUGAGGAGGAAGCUCGACAUCUCAGCAGUGAAGAUCUUCUAAGCGUUAUGGAUCAGCUCUAUGAGCAAAUAUCUAGCUUAUUACAAAGCAAUGAUGCUACUGAAAGUUUACUGGCUCUUCAUGCUAUCGAUGCUCUGAUUGAUUUACCAGUUGGAGGCGCUUCAAAGGUUUCUAAGCUGGCUAAUGUCUUAAAAAAUGUGUUUGAAGUCAAGCGUGAUCCUGAAAUCCUAGUUCCAGCUAGCACAGUGCUUGGUCAUUUGGCAAAUGCUGGGGGAGCAUUAACUGGACACGAGGUUGAGCGACAGAUUAUUACAACUGCGUUAGGGUGGCUUGGUGCUGAUCGAGUGGAAUAUCGCCGCUUUGCAGCUCUCCUUAUUCUCAAAGAGAUGGCUGAAAAUGCAUUCACAGUUUUCAAGAAUUAUAUCCCUGAGUUUGUUGAUGUUAUACUGAAAGCUUUGAACGAUCCCAAACUGGUUAUUCGUGAACGAGCAGCUGAAGCCGUGCGUGCACUUGCACAUUCCAACAUGCAGGCGGCGGCAGACUGUGGAGUGAAGAAGGUGAAACGGGAGGGAAUCGAUCUGAUCAGUGACCUCCCGGAUGAGACGCUCUGCACCAUCAUCUCCUUCCUCCGCACUGAUGAUGCCGUGCGCACUUCUGCCCUCUCUCGCCGCUGGCGUCACCUGUGGCGCUCCGCUUCGAUCAACCUUGACACUGCCCAUAUCCCUGGGUUUUGUCCCGAGCAAAUUGAGGUUGUAACCGAGAUCCUUUCUGAGCACCAGGGCCCCAUACGCCGCCUUCACCUCAACAGCCUCUAUUUUGCUGAUCUUGAUGGCUGGUUCAGGUCCCCAGCCCUUGCUAAUCUUCAGGAGUUCGACAUCUAUGUCGCUAAAUUUGAUGAUGUGCUGCCACUGUCUGUGCUCCGCUUCGCACCGACCCUCCGUGUGGCCCGCAUUGCCCACUGCAGCUUCUUUGAGGAUGAGGAGGUCCCAGUAUUUAACUUCCCAUACCUGAAAACACUCGUUCUGGGCUUCCUUUCUGUAUAUGAAGGUACCCUCCACAGCAUUCUCUCUGGCUGCCCUGUCCUCGAGGACCUGCUGCUUGACAGUUGUGAUGGCUUCAGGCGCUUGGUGAUCAACUCGCAGACACUUAGGAGCAUCGGUGUCUGUAAUGAUAUGGGCAGCAUGAGUGAAAUAGUCAUCGAGAAUGCCCCUUGCCUGGAAAGAUUCGUCAGAUCAGAUUUAUUUCGCAGAACCAGCCCACUGCGCAGAGCACCAGUCUUCCGGGUAAUUAGUGCGCCGAAACUGGCGAUCUUGGGCUCACUGACAGACAACGUUGAUAAACUCAAGCUUGGAACCAGAGUUUCACAGGAAAUGGUCGCUGGUAACCUGGAAAUGUUGAUGCGAGGUGUUAAGGUUUUAAAUAUCACGUCUAGUGGCCCUAAUCUUGAUGCAGUUCUUGGCUUCCUCAGAGUCUUUCCUUUCUUGGAGAAGCUAUACAUAAUGUCAUCUCUGCAGAAGGAUAUGCAAAAUGUGCAUCAUCAUGAGCCAACAGCUCUGAUUGAGUCUCUUCACCAUAUCAGAUAUGUAGAGUUGAAGUGUUACACGGGCACGGAUUCGGAUGUUGACUUUGCUAAGUUCUUUGUUCACAAUGCUAAGGCGCUUGAGUUGAUGAAAUUUGUUGUCGAAGGCAGAUGCACUCAGAAAUGGAGAACUGAUCAAUACAAGUGCCUACAGUUUGAUAGCAGGGCUUCUCCAAAUGCUCUAUUGGAUUUUAGAUCUUACUCUGGUCAUGCAUAUCCUGCUGGAUGUAUCCGAAGGGGCAAUCACCAUAAUGAGCAUGUCCUGUCCAUGGCUAAUCCCUUCGAUAGCUCUUCUUGUAGUCACUGCAGAGAUGCCUGA
rnacentral:rRNA from 1 species